AAAUUGAAGAGUUUGAUCAUGGCUCAGAUUGAACGCUGGCGGCAGGCCUAACACAUGCAAGUCGAACGGUAACAGGAAACAGCUUGCUGUUUCGCUGACGAGUGGCGGACGGGUGAGUAAUGUCUGGGAAACUGCCUGAUGGAGGGGGAUAACUACUGGAAACGGUAGCUAAUACCGCAUAAUGUCGCAAGACUAAAGAGGGGGACCUUCGGGCCUCUUGCCAUCGGAUGUGCCCAGAUGGGAUUAGCUAGUAGGUGGGGUAACGGCUCACCUAGGCGACGAUCCCUAGCUGGUCUGAGAGGAUGACCAGCCACACUGGAACUGAGACACGGUCCAGACUCCUACGGGAGGCAGCAGUGGGGAAUAUUGCACAAUGGGCGCAAGCCUGAUGCAGCCAUGCCGCGUGUAUGAAGAAGGCCUUCGGGUUGUAAAGUACUUUCAGCGGGGAGGAAGGGAGUAAAGUUAAUACCUUUACUCAUUGACGUUACCCGCAGAAGAAGCACCGGCUAACUCCG
rnacentral:rRNA from 1 species